AGAGUUUGAUCAUGGCUCAGGAUGAACGCUAGCUACAGGCUUAACACAUGCAAGUCGAGCGGUAUGUGCUUUAGUGCAUACAGCGGCAGACGGGUGAGUAACACGUAUCUAACCUUCCCCUUACUUGGGCAUAGCCUCUGGAAACGGAGAUUAAUUUCCGAUGUGGUGUACAUUUCGCAUGUUUUGCGCACCAAAGAUUUAUCGGUAAGGGAUGGGGAUGCGCUCCAUUAGGUUGUAGGUAGGGUAAUGGCCUACCUAGCCUAUGAUGGAUAGGGGUUCUGAGAGGAAGGUCCCCCACAUUGGAACUGCGACACGGUCCAAACUCCUACGGGAGGCAGCAGUGAGGAAUAUUGGUCAAUGGCCGGAAGGCUGAACCAGCCAAGUAGCGUGCAGGAUGACUGCCUUAUGGGUUGUAAACUGCUUUUUUACGGGAAUAAUUAUGAUCACGUGUGAUUAUUUGCAUGUACCGUAAGAAUAAGGAUCGGCUAACUCCGUGCCAGCAGCCGCGGUAAUACGGAGGAUCCGAGCGUUAUCCGGAAUUAUUGGGUUUAAAGGGUGCGUAGGCGGCCAUUUAAGUCAGCGGUGAAAUUUUGCAGCUUAACUGUAACAGUGCCGUUGAUACUGUUUGGCUAGGAUUUGGUUGUAGUGUGCGGAAUGUGUGGUGUAGCGGUGAAAUGCUUAGAUAUCACACAGAACACCGAUUGCGAAGGCAGCACACUAAGUCAUUAUUGACGCUGAGGCACGAAAGUGUGGGGAUCAAAAAAUCACUAGUGCGGCCGCCUGCAGGUCGACCAUAUGGGAGAGCUCCCAACGCGUG
rnacentral:rRNA from 1 species